rnacentral:rRNA from 1 species
UGGGGAAUAUUGCACAAUGGGCGCAAGCCUGAUGCAGCAACGCCGCGUGAACGAUGAAGGUCUUUGGAUCGUAAAGUUCUGUUGCAGGGGAAGAUAAUGACGGUACCCUGUGAGGAAGCCCCGGCUAACUACGUGCCAGCAGCCGCGGUAAUACGUAGGGGGCUAGCGUUAUCCGGAUUUACUGGGCGUAAAGGGGGCGUAGGUGGUCUUUCAAGUCGGUGGUUAAAGGCUACGGCUCAACCGUAGUUAGCCUCCGAAACUGGAAGACUUGAGUGCAGGAGAGGGAAGUGGAAUUCCCAGUGUAGCGGUGAAAUGCGUAGAUAUUGGGAGGAACACCAGUAGCGAAGGCGGCUUGCUGGACGGCAACUGACACUGAGGGACGAAAGCGUGGGUAGCAAACAGG